UUUUAAUGGCUUGUUACCAUUUGUAAGUUCCACUUUGCACACAGUGCAUAAUGCUUUUCGAAAAGCAAUUAAUGUUGUCGGUGAGGAUGCUGAGCAGCUUGCAUUUGAUUUACAUACCUGGUUCAAGAAUGCACCCUGUAAAAUAGAAGAUUUAAAAAAAUUAUCAGAUUGCAUUUUUAUUGACGAUGAAACAUUGUUUCUUCGUUUUAUCAAUACUAGAUGGUUUACUCUUUCUUCUUCACUUAUAAAGGUUCUAUUAUGGUGGGAAGACACCAAGAAAUAUUUUUGGAAUAUGUUCCAAAACAAAAGGAGUAUAAAAGACACUGACAAACAACAAGCGUUAUAUUCGGAUUCAAAGAAGUCUUAAGGAAACUGAAAAUGAGUUACUUGUGUCCAUCAAAUUCAUUAUUGGUUUAGCUCCCUUGUUUGAGAAAUACUUGACAAAAUUUCAAGAUGAAGGACCACUUGUUCAUAUUUUGUUUUAUAAAAUGAAAAAUCUUUUAAUAUCUUUAAUGAAACGUUUUCUUAAGCCGACUGCUGUUAAUGGAAAGCUUAACAAAGAUCUUUUAAAAAUUGAUUCUUCCGAUUCAACUAUCCACCUUGAUUUGAAUAAAAUGGACUUUGGCGAGGAAGCUAAAAACCAGGUAAACAAAAUAUCAUGUGAAAAAAAAAAGAUAUGUCUGCUUACAGCAAAUAAGAGAUGGAUAUAUAUCUGUUGUAAAACACUUGCAAAUAAAACUUCCACUUGAUUCGUAGAUAUUAAAAGAUAUGACUUGUUUGGGUGCUCAAAUGAGAUCAGAACUUUGGACUGUUUAUGCAAUUGGGCGAAUAGCAGUUACGAUGCCACAUGUAA